AGUGAACGCUGGCGGUAGGCCUAACACAUGCAAGUCGAACGGCAGCACAGGAGAGCUUGCUCUCUGGGUGGCGAGUGGCGGACGGGUGAGGAAUACAUCGGAAUCUACUUUUUCGUGGGGGAUAACGUAGGGAAACUUACGCUAAUACCGCAUACGACCUACGGGUGAAAGCAGGGGACCUUCGGGCCUUGCGCGAUUGAAUGAGCCGAUGUCGGAUUAGCUAGUUGGCGGGGUAAAGGCCCACCAAGGCGACGAUCCGUAGCUGGUCUGAGAGGAUGAUCAGCCACACUGGAACUGAGACACGGUCCAGACUCCUACGGGAGGCAGCAGUGGGGAAUAUUGGACAACGGGCGCAAGCCUGAUCCAGCCAUACCGCGUGGGUGAAGAAGGCCUUCGGGUUGUAAAGCCCUUUUGUUGGGAAAGAAAUCCAGCUGGCUAAUACCCGGUUGGGAUGACGGUACCCAAAGAAUAAGCACCGGCUAACUUCGUGCCAGCCGCCGCCGCAG
rnacentral:rRNA from 1 species